AGCCGGACGGCGCGGUGGUCGGGACAGACUGGCCGUUGCUGUGGAGACGCCUG
rnacentral:misc_RNA from 1 species